UGGGGAAUUUUGGACAAUGGGCGCAAGCCUGACCCAGCCAUGCCGCGUGCGGGAAGAAGGCCUUCGGGUUGUAAACCGCUUUUGUCAGGGAAGAAAUCUUCUGAGUUAAUACCUCGGGAGGAUGACGGUACCUGAAGAAUAAGCACCGGCUAACUACGUGCCAGCAGCCGCGGUAAUACGUAGGGUGCAAGCGUUAAUCGGAAUUACUGGGCGUAAAGCGUGCGCAGGCGGUUUUGUAAGACAGAGGUGAAAUCCCCGGGCUCAACCUGGGAACUGCCUUUGUGACUGCAAGGCUUGAGUGCGGCAGAGGGGGAUGGAAUUCCGCGUGUAGCAGUGAAAUGCGUAGAUAUGCGGAGGAACACCGAUGGCGAAGGCAAUCCCCUGGGCCUGCACUGACGCUCAUGCACGAAAGCGUGGGGAGCAAACAGGAUUAGAUACCCUGGUAGUCCNCGCCCUAAACGAUGUCAACUGGUUGUUGGGAAGGUUCCUUCUCAGUAACGUAGCUGACGCGUGAAGUUUGACCGCCUGGGGAGUACGGCCGCAAGGUUGAAA
rnacentral:rRNA from 1 species